rnacentral:rRNA from 1 species
GGGGGGGGGGGGGGGGGGGCGUAAGGGGGGCAAGUCGAGCGGGGAAGGCGGAGGGGGGUCUGCUGGAGCAGUGGCGAACGGGUGAGUAACACGUGAGCAAUCGGCCCCUGACUCUGGGAUAAGCGCUGGAAACGGCGUCUAAUACUGGAUACGAGCGGCGAAGGCAUCUUCAGCAGCUGGAAAGAAUUUCGGUCAGGGAUGAGCUCGCGGCCUAUCAGCUUGUUGGUGAGGUAAUGGCUCACCAAGGCGUCGACGGGUAGCCGGCCUGAGAGGGUGACCGGCCACACUGGGACUGAGACACGGCCCAGACUCCUACGGGAGGCAGCAGUGGGGAAUAUUGCACAAUGGGCGAAAGCCUGAUGCAGCAACGCCGCGUGAGGGACGACGGCCUUCGGGUUGUAAACCUCUUUUAGCAGGGAAGAAGCGAAAGUGACGGUACCUGCAGAAAAAGCGCCGGCUAACUACGUG